rnacentral:rRNA from 1 species
UACGUAGGUGGCAAGCGUUGUCCGGAUUUACUGGGCGUAAAGAGCGCGCAGGCGGUCGUUCAAGUCGCGUGUGAAAGCCCCCGGCUCAACUGGGGAGGGUCACGCGAUACUGAUCGACUCGAAGGCAGGAGAGGGUAGUGGAAUUCCCGGUGUAGUGGUGAAAUGCGUAGAUAUCAAGAGGAACACCUGAGGUGAAGACGGGUUGCUGGGCCAACACUGACGCUGAGGCGCGAAAGCCAGGGGAGCAAACGGG